rnacentral:lncRNA from 1 species
CCGUGACGCGCUGGGGAAGGGGCGGAGGCGGCUGCGGACCCGACGCUGGAGACCCGGGUGAAGAGUCAAAUACACCUUGUUUUGUGGAGGCUUUAGAAAGCGCAGCAUGGGAAACCUUUCCUGCAGCUACAGUAAGAAAUACUCACUGAAGAUCUCUGGGGGAUGUGAUGAGUGUAACAGCACUUCCCAGACAGUGAAGUCACUCUGUACUGACACUGAUUUUCAGCCUUAACACAGAGGUUAAAAGAAGAGAAAGGGAUCUUGAGGAGAGGCUGAAGCCAAGGCCUCUGGUUUUCACCCAGGAUUCAGUGCAAGCUUGGAAAGAGUAAAGAGCUUCUCACCUCAUUCCUGAUAUCAGCAAAAGGAUUGCAUAAUCUUAGCACUUCUAAUCUCAAGUAAUAAAUCAAUAUCUGGAG